rnacentral:rRNA from 1 species
GCAUAACGCGAAGAACCUUACCCACCUUUGACAUGUACGGAAUCCUUUAGAGAUAGAGGAGUGCUCGAAAGAGAGCCGUAACACAGGUGCUGCAUGGCUGUCGUCAGCUCGUGUCGUGAGAUGCUGGGUUAAGUCCCGCAACGAGCGCAACCCUUGCCAUUAGUUGCUACGAAAGGGCACUCUAAUGGGACUGCCGGUGACAAACCGGAGGAAGGUGGGGAUGACGUCAAGUCCUCAUGGCCCUUAUAGGUGGGGCUACACACGUCAUACAAUGGCUGGUACAGAGGGUUGCCAACCCGCGAGGGGGAGCCAAUCCCACAAAGCCAGUCGUAGUCCGGAUCGCAGUCUGCAACUCGACUGCGUGAAGUCGGAAUCGCUAGUAAUCGCGGAUCAGAAUGUCGCGGUGAAUACGUUCCCGGGUCUUGUACACACCG